AUUUGGAAGAUACUUCCAGUCAGGUCUCAGUCUCAAUCAGUCACUGGUUCAUGUGUAUUUCAUGGACAUCUACCCUGUGCUGGGCACUGGGCAUACAACAGUCUACUGGACCCAGUCUCUCGCCCUCAAGGGGACCGUAGCCCAGGAGAGAGGCAGGCAGAUGAUCAGGUGAGGAACAGGAUCAAGGAGCCACAGCGGGAUGGAGGAGGAGAUGGACCUGGCCGUGAUGCUGGUGGCUGGUUCCAUGGCAGACGCCCCUGUGCUGUGACCCUCAGACCAAAUCCGGAGGCCCUGGGGUAGAGAGGGUGGGUCUGCCAGGGCAUGGCCAGGCUCCCUGUCUCUAGAGACUUCCCCAGGAGAGUUUCGUGACCCUGAGGAUGGUAAUGCAGUGUAGGCUCUGGAGCUCUGUGCGGGGACCCCUUGGAGAGCCCCGGGGAGAGCUGGUCCCCGCCUGCCUGGGCCUGCCUCUGCUGCUGCGGGGGCCAGCACAAGGGUGGGGUCAGGUCUCCACACAUUUCAUGCCCAGGUCGUGUCCCCCCUCUAGGGCCAGGGCUGGGCACUCCCCAGGCAGUGACACAGCUGGUGCUGUGGUCUCUCGCCCUUCGAAGGUUGGUUUCAAUCCCAAGUGUCACAGCUGGAAACGCCAGCCACCCCCGGACAUGCGGUAUUGCCAGCCCUUCCUCAGGGCUCUGCUUCUUAGAUCCCAACUGUCUGAAGGGGGCACUAGGCUGAGCUCUUCCAAGACGCUGGGCAGGAGCGAGCCUGCUGUGCACAUUCCCAGAGGACUCCACAUCUAGAUAAAUGAAGGGCUGGAAGGCUCUUUGGCUCCACACCAGCAAAACAGCUUACGUCACCCUGCCUAAAGAGACAGUCAGGAAAUCCCCUUGUUCCUGGGCGAGGAGAAGCUGGCCACAGGGAGUGAUGGCACUGAGCAGAUACCAUCCCUUGCUCCCUCAUGGAUGGAGCAGGGCCUGCUGACCUUGACAGCGACCAGGGGAGGGGGCCUGGAGGUAAGGGGUGAGCUGCUGAAGAUGAGGGAAAGAACUGGAGUUAGGACAGGGUGCAGCGACCACGUCCUGGGACAAGGAGGCAUCUGUGACCCGUGUGAUCUGCCCGGCAGGCAACACGAGUCAUUGUACCCCAGCUGUGCCCGCUACUGAGAGGGGAGCUAAGAGAGGCUGCUCCUGCCUCCCGGUGCUCUCCAUCGGACAGGUCUGCUGGGCGGUACCGGCUUUUACUGUCGUUUUUUCUGCUCUUCCUUCUCUCCUCUCCCUCUCCCUCUCUUUUCCAGACCACUCACUCACACACACGUGCACAAUCGCACAGACAUGCACUGAACAUAUGUGCACAUAUAUGUAUUUGCACACGCAGGCACACCCACACACCUGUGCACUGGCACCCAUUUGCACACAUGCCCACAUACUUGCACACAUGUGCACCUGCAGAAAUACACCCUUGCAGCCAUGUGACACACCUGCACACUUGCACACACCCAUUUGCACACAGGCACAGACACGCCCACACCCAUUUGCACACGCAGCCACAAACUUGCACAAGCAGCACUUGUACACUGGCACACAUCUGUUUGAGCCUAUGAAGUGCACACUUACCCAUUUGCACACAGCUACACUUGCUCACGCAUUUGCACACACACUACACACGAACGUGCAGCACAUGUAUGCAUGUACACACAUGCACAUUUGCAUGCACACACACAGCAGUGGCACACACUUCUCCAUCACUCUCCUCAGUCACUGUUCUCCCCUGUGAUUCCCACCCUGUGACCACCCCCCACCCCACGCCUGCUUGCUGCCCCUCUGCUGGAAGGGGCCUGGCCUGCUGCCUGCCUCUGUCUGUCUCCACCCGGGCAGGGAGGUGUCACAAGGACUGGCUGACAUCUUGCCUCGGGCUGCCCUGGCUGCAGCUGCUGCUGAGCGGAAGUGUCUGAGGCUGAGGCUGAGAGGAAACCACACUCUCGCUCAGGUUCCCCGCAGCUCCAGGCCUCUGGGGGAGGGUGAGGAGAUGUGUGGACGUGAGACAGCUUUGAGGGAGGGGAGCAUGAAACUUUUCUCGGGGUCUCUUCAGUCUCCAGGACAGAACCAGGCCACUGUGCUCCAGGAGAAGGGAACGCCCCUGUCGCCCCAGGCUGAGCCCACUGGCACCUCGGGCUCCCAGGCCCUUCUCAGCCCACGCCUGUGUCUCUGCCUUGUCAGGCUUAGGCUUCAGGCCUUUUAAGAAGACUUUGGUGGCAAAUGGCAUCUCAGGGAGCCCUGGCCUGUCUCCCCCAGAGCUUGUGCCUUGGCCCUGGGCAGGGGCCACCACGGGCUGUUGAUGUGAAUGGCAUCCCCUAGCGUUGUGCAGGGUGGGGGCAAGCCCAAGGUGGCAGCCCAGUCCCCUGUCCAAAGCUUUUGCUCCCCAGCCCAGCUCCAGCUCUGUCUCUGUCAUUGCAGGUGGGGGGAGAGGCCAGAGCUCAGGGACAGGGGCACUCCUCACAGAUUCUCCCUGCCCUAGGUUGAAGGGGAGGGGGAAAUGCCCAUCCUCCAUCUUCCUAUCCUGCCAGCGGGGUGGGUGCUACUAUUCAGGGGAGGGUCUGGCUGAAUAAUGACGCUAAGCUUGGGACGCAAGCCUUCUCCUUGCACCUACUGUGUGCCGAGUGCCAUCCCAAGUGCAUUAUGGGUGAGAACUUGUACAGUGAUUCAGACGGGCACUGCUAUAACCACCCCCAGGUUCUGUCUGGUUCCAGUCCUGGCCACAACGCUAAAGAGCAGCAGACGGAUUGGAUGUGAUUUGAUCUGAACCAGGGCAAGCUGACCCAGAGCCCGCUGCCUAACCAUUGGGCCAACCAGCCUCUGUCAGGACUCCAGGCUGGCUGGCGUCACACCCUUCUGUCAUUUCCCAGGGAAACAAGCUCAAACAGUCUCCCCCAUGGGCACUUUGGCCCAGACUCCCUGCCUUUCAUGAUCGGAACCAAAGAGCAGUGUCCUCUGCUGGAAGGGAGCCCACCAGGCGUCUUCUCCUGCAGGCUGUGUCUUGCAUGUGGGUCCUGAGUUUUCUCACUGAGUAAGGGGAGGGGCAGCAGGGUCAGUCCAGCGCAGAGUGGAUGGAGGCCGGUUGAGGCUUUCUUGAAACCCUAAGCCCCACUGGCAUCCUCAGGGAAGACCUUAGCUCUUCCAGAGGUCAGUGGGACAUGGGCUGGAGCCCAAGUAGGAGACAGGGAGCGAUGGUGGCCUGAGGUCCUGGGGUGACCAGGCCCUGAGCCUGCCCUGCUCUAGGCCCCCUUUCCCCACCGCCUGGACACCGGGUUCUUGCCCUAAGAUGGAAAAGGAGAUGCCCCAUGGAGAACAAUUCUCUAGGUCCCUAGUGCGGCUCCAACAGAUGCCGGAGGGACAUGGCAGGUGACCCUGGUCUCCAAUGGCCCUGAUCUGACUUGCUGCCAUGAGGCCAACUUCCUACCUUGACCCACCUGCUGCCUCUGCUUUCAAAAGCGCAGAAGGGAGGACCUCCUCCAGCUUCCCGGCCGCCUCCCACCUCCCGCCGCCCGGCAGCGCUGGGCCCCCGGCAGCGAGGUUCAGGAGGGGAAGAACCUCUCGCAGGUGAACAAAUUGCUGCACAUCAGACACAUUCUUUUCAAGCUUCAUUUUCUUUCCUUUUCAUGAUAACUUUCCCACUAUUAAAGAGCAUUUUUAAAAAGAAGAUGAAAAAAGGGAGAGAGAAAAGCGGGAUGAAAGUGCGAGUGGGCACCCGGAAGUCCUUUUCAAUUGCCUGCCGCUGUGCAGGGUCUGAUCUAAGAGCAAGAGAUUGGAGGAUGCUGGAGGGCGAGGUUUCGUUUCCGUCCUGCCUGUUGGGCCGAGUCCGGGGCAGGGAGGGAGGGAUGAUGGAGGUGAGCCUGGCUGGGCCCUGCAACCCUGGUGGCUGCCCUCUGCCUGUCACCCUGCCCCUGGCCUGUGCCUGGCACAGAAAGGCCCUCAAUAAUUUCUUGUUGAAUGAAUGAAAGAAAGAAAUCAAUGGAUGGAGAGGGCUGGAUUCUUUUGUGGGGACCUUCCGAAGCGCCUUCUCUGUGGAGCUCUAGGGCUGAGAAGGAAAGGACAGAUUUGGCAAAGGACAGGCAGGGGCUGGGAAAGCAUCAGGUGGACCAGGGGCGCUACACCAAGGCCACGCCUCCACUGGUUGUUGUCCCACUGGUGACACCCAUGGGUGCAGCCAUGGCGGGUGUGCACACUUUCACGUGGGAUGGGGGGUGAGCCCGGGGUGGAGUGGGCAACCCCCACCCCUUCCCUGCCCCUCUCCCUACCAGCAGGUACUGUUAAAUCUGACUGAAGAAAAAAGUUUGGGAACACACCAAGAAGGUGUGACUAUGACGAUGUCUCUGAGAUGAAUCCAAGAAGAAGCAGCGGUGUCAUAAAGGGGACCAGGACUCAGGGUCAAGGACUUCAAGUAUCAUUAAAUAUAAUCAAAUAUCUAGAAAGUUAUUAUUGGCUGGGUGCAGUGGCUCAUGACUUUAAUCCUAGCACUUAGAGAGACCCAGGUAGGAAGAUCACUUUAGCCUGGGAGUUUGAGACCAGCAUGGGCAACACAGUGAGACCCCACCUCUAAAAAAAAAAAA